rnacentral:tRNA from 1 species
GGUAAAAUGGCUGAGAUUUAGGCGAUAAAUUGUAAAUUUAUUAACGAAUUAUAAAUUCUUUUACCA